UGCUUUUGCCGGGAACAGAACAGAAAUGGAAUGUUAGAACUUACUCUGAGUCUUUGAUAGCUCUGAAAAUAAGGUCCUACGAGUCUCAAGCUGCACUCUCCAAAAAUGAAGGCUUGCAAAUUACUGAAGGCUUCUAAAAAUGUUGGCCCUGAAGCUGUGCUGAUGGCUUCAGUUAGCACUUCAUGCUCUCCCCAUGGGUGUCUGCCUUCCAGCUUCACCACUGCUGGAUCCCUAGUCCUCACAGGCUCCUUCUCUGAGGCACUGGAACGUCCACUCUGCAUCUGUGCAAAAAAGGAAUGAAUUCCUCCGGACAGGGCCGGAUUAAUGCAGGGGCUUUGGGGCUGCAGCCCAGGGCCUCGGGUACCACAGCCAAUGGGAGCUGCUGGGGUGGUGCCUGUGGGCACGGGCAGUGUGCACCACACAGAGCAGCCUGGCCCCUC